rnacentral:piRNA from 1 species
UUGAACCUUCUGGAUACCUACGAUGCUUCCCU